rnacentral:rRNA from 1 species
UCCGUAGGUGAACCUGCGGAAGGAUCAUUAUCGAGUUUUGAACGGGUUGUAGCUGACCUCUUUUUGGGGUAUGUGCACGCCUGGCUCAUCCACUCUCAACCUCUGUGCACUUCAUGUAAGAGAACGGUGUAAGCUGAUUUUGUAAAGAAGUCAGUGACAAGCCUUCUCUUGCGUUUUACCACAAACACUUCAGUUAUAGAAUGUUUACUGUGUAUAACACAAUUAUAUACAACUUUCAGCAACGGAUCUCUUGGCUCUCGCAUCGAUGAAGAACGCAGCGAAAUGCGAUAAGUAAUGUGAAUUGCAGAAUUCAGUGAAUCAUCGAAUCUUUGAACGCACCUUGCACUCCUUGGUAUUCCGAGGAGUAUGCCUGUUUGAGUCUCAUGGUAUUCUCAACCCCUAAAUUUUUCUAGUGAAGAUUUGGUGGGCUUGGACUUGGAGGUUGUGUUGGCUCUCGCUAGUCGACUCCUCUGAAAUACAUUAGUGUGAACCUUACGGAUCGCCUUCAGUGUGAUAAUUAUCUGCGCUGUGGUGGUGAAGUAUUUAUUGUAUUCACGCUUCUAACCGUCUCUCCUUCGAGACAAAUACUUUGACAAUCUGAGCUCAAAUCAGGUAGGAUUACCCGCUGAACUUAAGCAUAUCAAUAAGCGGAGGAAAAGAAACUAACAAGGAUUCCCCUA